CCCUUAGAUGUUCUGGGCCGCACACGCGCUACACUGAAGGAGGCAGCGUGUACUCCUGGAUCGAAAGAUUUGGGUAACCCGCGAAUCUCCUUCGUGCUAGGGAUUGAGGUUUGCAAUUAUCCUUCAUGAACGAGGAAUUCCCAGUAAGUGCAAGUCAUAAGCUUGCGCUGACUACGUCCCUGCCCUUUGUACACACCGCCCGUCGCUACUACCGAUUGAAUGAUUUAGUGAGGACUUCGGACUGGGACCGAUGCGGCUUUCGGGCUGCGUCGGUAUUCUGGAAAGAUGUCCAAACUGUAUCAUUUAGAGGAAGUAAAANCCGUANCA
rnacentral:rRNA from 1 species